rnacentral:rRNA from 1 species
AUUGAACGCUGGCGGCAUGCCUUACACAUGCAAGUCGAACGGCAGCGCGGGAGCAAUCCUGGCGGCGAGUGGCGAACGGGUGAGUAAUAUAUCGGAACGUGCCCUGUAGCGGGGGAUAGCCCGGCGAAAGCCGGAUUUAAUACCGCAUACGCUCUACGGAGGAAAGCGGGGGUUCUUGGGGCAACUGAGGACCUCGCACUAUAGGAGCCGGCCGAUAUCGGAUUAGCUAGUUGGCGGGGUAAAAGCCCACCAAGGCUACGAUCCGUAGCUGGUCUGAGAGG